AUUGAACGCUGGCGGCAUGCUUUACACAUGCAGGUCGAACGGCAGCGCGGGCUUCGGCCUGGCGGCGAGUGGCGAACGGGUGAGUAAUGCAUCGGAACGUGCCCAGUAGUGGGGGAUAGCCCGGCGAAAGCCGGAUUAAUACCGCAUACGACCUGAGGGUGAAAGCGGGGGACCGAAAGGCCUCGCGCUAUUGGAGCGGCCGAUGUCGGAUUAGCUAGUUGGUGGGGUAAAGGCUUACCAAGGCGACGAUCCGUAGCUGGUCUGAGAGGACGACCAGCCACACUGGGACUGAGACAAGGCCCAGACUCCUACGGGAGGCAGCAGUGGGGAAUUUUGGACAAUGGGGGCAACCCUGAUCCAGCCAUGCCGCGUGCGGGAAGAAGGCCUUCGGGUUGUAAACCGCUUUUGUUCGGGAAGAAAUACUCUGGGCUAAUACCCCGGGGGGAUGACGGUACCGGAAGAAUAAGCACCGGCUAACUACGUG
rnacentral:rRNA from 1 species